CUUGGAGAACUGCCAGAUAAUGCCAUCCUGCCUCCUCACGGGCCCCGGGGAUGAGUCUCCCAGGGACUGAACUCCAGUAAAGCAGGUGAUUGGCUCAUGCGUAGGCAUCUGACCUCGGCUAAGUCUAUCAGACUCCUCCCCAGGACUUUUCUCUCAGAGAAAAAUGGAAGAAUUGUCUUUUCUCUCUGGAAUUUCUAAGCUGGGGAGAUACGACUCUGGGACUCCCAGUUAGCAUCCAGCACAAGAAGAGACUUUCUGUAAAAUAAAGUCUUGCAGAGGUUAAUUAUCUGAGAAGAGUAUUGUGCCAGCACACUUGAUGCUACAGUAUUUCAUGUUUGACAGCUGUCGAUUCCUUCUCUUGUUCUGGAUGGAAGAUAGCAACGAAGCCACUUCAAAGGGCUCAGCCUGCCUUUUUGUGUUAUUGUUUAGAUGAAGAUAUUUCCAUUUAUUAAAGCACACUAUUUAAACAUUUU